GUGAGGAAUAUUGCGCAAUGGGCGAAAGCCUGACGCAGCGACGCCGCGUGGAGGAUGAAGGCCUUCGGGUCGUAAACUCCUGUCGAGGGGGACGAAAUGGUGGUUCGUUAAUACCGGGCCGCCUUGACGGUACCCCUGGAGGAAGCCCCGGCUAACUCCGUGCCAGCAGCCGCGGUAAUACGGAGGGGGCCAGCGUUGCUCGGAAUUACUGGGCGUAAAGGGCUCGUAGGCGGUCUGAUAAGUCCUGUGUGAAAUCCCUUGGCUCAACCAAGGAACUGCGCCGGAAACUAUCGGACUUGAGGCCGGGAGAGGGAAGCGGAAUUCCCAGUGUAGCGGUGAAAUGCGUAGAUAUUGGGAGGAACACCGGUGGCGAAGGCGGCUUCCUGGACCGGUUCUGACGCUGAGGAGCGAAAGCUAGGGGAGCAAACAGG
rnacentral:rRNA from 1 species